ensembl:lncRNA
AGAGAGAACAGGCAGAGCAGGAGAGACACGGCUUGGAAAUCAAACCGCAGAGUUUUCUUUGUUCAGUUUGUUCAAAGGUAGAGGCAAUAUGCACUCUUUAUUGCUUUAAUGGCUUGGCAUUUUUCAGCAGCAAGCCAAGAGUGAAAAACAGGUAGAGAGAAAAUUUAGCAGAGAGAACAGGCAGAGCAGGAGAGACACGGCUUGGAAAUCAAACCGCAGAGUUUUCUUUGUUCAGUUUGUUCAAAGGUUGAGGCAAAAUAUGCACUCUUUAUUGCUUUAUUGGCUUGUGCAUUUCUCAGCAGCAAGCCAAAGAGUGAAAAACAGGUAGAGAGAAAAUUUAGCAGAGAGAACAGAGAGAGCAGGAAAGACACGGUUUUGAAAUCAAACCGUAGAGUUUUCUUUGUUUGUUCAGUUUGUUCAAAGGUUGAGGCAAAAUAUGCACUCUUUAUUGCUUUAUUGGCUUGUGCAUUUCUCAGCAGCAAGCCAAAGAGUGAAAAACAGGUAGAGAGAAAAUUUAGCAGAGAGAACAGACAGAGCAGGAGAGACACGGUUUUGAAAUCAAACCGCAAUAAGAUUCUUGGUUUGGCAAAAUUUCUCACAAACCACAGGGUGAAAUACAGAUGGAAAGAAGGCAGAGACAACAGGUGGAGCAGGACAGAGGAUAGAGGGGAUGGGGGGUUGGGAUGUGACAGAGAAGACUGGAGAUCUGGUCCUUGUUCUUCUGCACACUGUGAACAAAAAAGAAGAAAAAAAUAAUAAUUUUAUUAAAAUUAUAUCACAUGGUAAUUGUAUGAACUAAUUGUGACUACUGAAAAAGGACAAAACAAAUAUUGAAGCUAAACUGUUGUUGGCUGCCAUGUGCAAAAAGUUGCAUAAUUGGGCACUUUUUAAAAGAAUAUUUAUUUAAAUUCAGCAAUAAUAUUUUUAAUACAAAUAUGAUUGAGUGAAUCAUUA